rnacentral:misc_RNA from 1 species
GAAAUGCGAUAAGUAAUGUGAAUUGCAGAAUCCAGUGAACCAUCGAAUCUUUGAACGCACCUUGCGCUCCUUGGUAUUCCUUGGAGCAUGCCUGUUUGAGUAUCAUGAAAUCUUCAAAGUAAAUCUUUUGUUAACUCAAUUGGUUUCUACUUUGGUAUUGGAGGUCUUUGCAGCUUCACACCUGCUCCUCUUUGUUCAUUAGCUGGAUCUCAGUGUUAUGCUUGGUUCCACUCGGCGUGAUAAGUUAUCUAUCGCUGAGGACACUGUAAAAGGUGGCCAAGGUAAAUGCAGAUGAACCGCUUCUAAUAGUCCAUUGACUUGGACAAUACUUUUAUGAUCUGAUCUCAAAUCAGGUAGGACUACCCGCUGAACUUAAGC